rnacentral:rRNA from 1 species
AGCGAACGCUGGCGGCAGGCUUAACACAUGCAAGUCGAGCGCCCGGAGCAAUCCGGGAGCGGCAGACGGGAGAGUAACACGUGGGAACGUACCCUUUGGUUCGGAAUAAUCCAGGGAAACUUGGACUAAUACCGGAUAAGCCCUUACGGGGAAAGAUUUAUCGCCAAAGGAUCGGCCCGCGUCUGAUUAGCUAGUUGGUGAGGUAACGGCUCACCAAGGCGACGAUCAGUAGCUGGUCGAGAGGAUGAUCAGCCUCACUGGGACUGAGACACGGCCCAGACUCCUACGGGAGGCUGCAGUCGCGAAUCAUUCACAAUGGGCGCAAGCCUGAUGAUGCCACGCCGCGUGCGGGAUGAAGGCCUCUGGGUUGUAAACCGCUGUCAAGAGGGGGAAACGUAGUGGUGUUAACAGCGCCAUGCC